rnacentral:rRNA from 1 species
GGACUACAAGGGUAUCUAAUCCUGUUUGCUACCCACGCUUUCGCGUCUCAGUGUCAAGAAUGGCCCAGAAGGCCGCCUUCGCCACCGGUAUUCCUCCAGAUAUCUACGAAUUUCACCUCUACACCUGGAAUUCCACCUUCCUCUACCAUCUUCUAGUUUAUUAGUUUCGACUGCACUUCCUCGGUUGAGCCCAGGGAUUUCACAAUCGACUUAAUAGACCACCUACACGCGCUUUACGCCCAAUGAUUCCGAACAACGCUUGCCCCCUUCGUAUUACCGCGGCUGCUGGCAC